ACGGAAGGCAGCAGUGGGGAAUAUUAGGCAAUGGGGGCAACCCUGACCUAGCAACGCCGCGUGAAGGAAGAAGGCCUUCGGGUUGUAAACUUCUUUUAUAGGGGACGAAACGAAUGACGGUACCCUAUGAAUAAGCCACGGCUAACUACGUGCCAGCAGCCGCGGUAAUACGUAGGUGGCAAGCGUUGUCCGGAUUUACUGGGUGUAAAGGGCGCGUAGGCGGGAUGGCAAGUCAGAUGUGAAAUCCAUGGGCUCAACCCAUGAACUGCAUUUGAAACUGUUAUUCUUGAGUAUCGGAGAGGCAAGCGGAAUUCCUAGUGUAGCGGUGAAAUGCGUAGAUAUUAGGAGGAACAUCAGUGGCGAAGGCGGCUUACUGGGCUUUAACUGACGCUGAGGCUCGAAAGCGUGGGAUCAAACAGGAUUAGAUACCCUGGUA
rnacentral:rRNA from 1 species